AAGAGCCGUCGAUUUCAAAACCAUUAACUCAAAGCCAGGUCCCUCCCAUGCCUUACAGCCUCCUGUUACUUGCUAAGCACGUUUGUUAGGCGGUCGGACAGAAACUGAAUUAAAAGUCCUCAGCCCGGAGUUGGGGGGACAAUCGAGUCUUCAGUGGGAAGCGAGAGGUGCGGGAGCCCCGGAGGCGCGGGGACUGCUGGCAAUGCACGUCCAGCAGGACGAUGUUUGGGGAGAAUUUCAAGGGCCCCUCGCAAGCCCUCCCGCGAACCCACCCCGACCCAGCUUGAUCUAACUUCCGUCAAUUAAGAUAAAACCAUAAGGAUUGAGGAAGCAACAAAAUAGAAGAAACAAUGUCCUCAAAUGACUAACUGAAGACAGAAGAGCUGCCCCACCAACCUGGACUACUCACCACUAGACUGUUACUUGACAGAGAAAUAAAUUGGUAUAUUAU